GACGAAGGUGGCAAGCGUUGUUCGGUAUUACUGGGCUUAAAGCGUGUGUAGGCGGAAAUGUAAGCGUUGCGUGAAAGCCCCCGGCUUAACCGGGGAACUGCGCAACGAACUGCGUUUCUUGAGGCAAGUAGGGGUGCAUGGAACUCUUGGUGGAGCGGUGGAAUGCGUAGAUAUCAAGAGGAACGCCAGUGGAGAAAUCGGUGCACUGGGCUUGUUCUGACGCUGAGACACGAAAGCGUGGGGAGCGAACGGGAUUAGAUACCCGUGUA
rnacentral:rRNA from 1 species